rnacentral:lncRNA from 1 species
UUGUUUUUCGAAGAUAGGAAAAAAAAUGAAAAAAUGAAAAAAAGAAAAAAAGAAAAGCAAAAGUUGCAGUGUCAGACUUUUCCGAGGUCAAAUGUUAAAUNAAAAAUAACAAUUUUGACGUUUCUCUCAAGACGUUUGUGCACAUGCUGCUUGAAAACCUCCGCCCUUCACUUUUCCAAAAUAAAGGAUUUCCCUUCAACAAACAUCGUCGCUGCCCUCAAUAACAAAGUAAACCUUUUCACUGGGGCAGAUUGGCU